rnacentral:lncRNA from 1 species
GCUGACUCUCUUUUCAGAUUCAGCCCAGUUGCACCCAAGUAAAAUAAACAGUCUUGUUGCUCACACAAAGCCUGUUGGUGGACUCUCUUCAUAUGGACUCAUGUGACAUUUGGUGCCGAAGACCUGAGACAGGAGGACUCCUUUGGGAGACCGGUCCCCUGUCCUCGCCCUCUCUCCAUGAGAUCCACCCAUGACCUCGGGUCCUCAGCCCAGCCGAAGGAACUUCUCACCAAUUUUAAAUCGGGGACGCAAAGCCAACAAGAAUGAAGAAGUGGCCAGAUGUGAAUCAGUGCAAGGGCCCAGGACAGCGGAAGAGGUGUGAAGCCAUCCUGUGAUCGGGAAGCCACAGGGUGUCCAGACCCAGCGGGAGCCGAGGAUUCAGGAGAAUCUCCCCAGUCAGCUCCAGAGGUGCCCACAGUGUGAGCUCUAGUGUCUCCCAGGAAAUUAAAGCAAUGUGAACACCCUCUGGCCAGCCUGUUGGAGGGUGAGAGACCACAUGGAGGAGACAGAGCCCUGAUGUCCCAGCUGAGGACAUCCCAGAAAAGCCUAUUUCCAGACAACUGAGGACAGGUGAAUGAGUUCUUUGUAGAUGAACCAGAAUCCAGUCUAUCUACCUGCUGAGCACAGACAUGUGAGCAACCCCCCCAUCAAGGUCAACUGAGCCUGGCCCAGAUCAACAGAAUCACGAGAUGACCUAUGGACUCAGGAGCAAUCAUGAUGUGGUUGUUCCAUGACACUGAAUGUAGAGGUCGUUGAUUCUGCAGCACCAGCAAACUGACACAUAACACCGUGUUUAAUAUUGGGUUCUGGGCUUUGGGGUCCCUGCAGAGUUCCUGAUUUCAGCCCCAAGGGCUCAUUCACAAAUUUAUUACUCAGAUUCUACCCUGUCAACCCAGGACGUGUUACUUACACAUUUCCCAGUGUGGGCAGCAAGCCACCCAGGUGCCGAGGCAAGAGACCGAGGGCACAAGCUGUUCCAGUAUAAUAAAGAAAACAUAUAAAAUAAGAAUAGUUAUACUAGAUAUAGAUCGUAGAUAUGAUUAUAUAUGAAUAUUACUAAUCAUUAGUCUGUAGCAAUUACUCUUUAUUCCAUUAUAAUAAUAAUCUUCUCUCUACAAUUAUAACUUAAGAGAAACCAGGCCAUACAGAGAUAGGAGCUGAACGGACACAGUGAGAAAUGACCAGAAGACAAGAGUGUGAGCCUUCUAUUAUGCCCCGACAGGGCCACUAGAGGGCUCCUUAGUCUAGCGUUAAUGCCAGUGCCCGGGAAGAUGCCCGUUACCUAGCCGACUUUGGUCUAGCGGUAGCGUCAGUGCCCAGGAAAAGCACCCACUACUUAGCAGACUGGGAAAAGGAGUGUCCCUUUCCCCGGGGGAGUUAGAGAAGACUCUGCUCCACCACCUCUUGUGGAGGGCCUGACAUCCGUCAGGCCUGCCCGCAGUUAUCCAGAGGCCUGUCUCCCUGUGAUGCUG